rnacentral:sRNA from 2 species
GGACAGCCAUCGCCGAGUCCCCAUACGGCGCGAGCCAGGGGAGCCGGGGACCCACGUAGUCCCUGGGGUGAAUCGGACGCCCGCGCAGCCGCGAGGGGGUCCGUAGGAGACCUUCCUGCUCCGAACCCGUCAGCUAACCCGGUAGGCGAGAAGGAAGGAAAG